rnacentral:misc_RNA from 1 species
GUGUCACUCGCUCGGGGUGAUGCAUCGGGAUCUUAAGCCGGAGAACUUCUUACUGGCGAAUAAGGAUGAUGAUCUCUCGCUUAAGGCGAUUGACUUCGGGCUGUCGAUUUUCUUCAAGCCAGGCCAGAUUUUCACAGAUGUUGUUGGGAGCCCAUACUAUGUUGCCCCUGAGGUACUCUGCAAGCACUAUGGUCCGGAAGCUGAUGUUUGGACCGCCGGUGUGAUACUUUACAUAUUGUUGAGUGGUGUGCCACCAUUUUGGGCCG